rnacentral:rRNA from 1 species
AACGAACGCUGGCGGCAGGCCUAACACAUGCAAGUCGAACGCCGUAGCAAUACGGAGUGGCAGACGGGUGAGUAACACGUGGGAACGUACCCUUCGGUUCGGGAUAACUCAGGGAAACUUGAGCUAAUACCGGAUACGUCCGAGAGGAGAAAGAUUUAUCGCCGAGGGAUCGGCCCGCGUCUGAUUAGCUUGUUGGUGAGGUAACGGCUCACCAAGGCGACGAUCAGUAGCUGGUCNGAGAGGAUGAUCAGCCACAUUGGGACUGAGACACGGCCCAAACUCCUACGGGAGGCAGCAGUGGGGAAUAUUGGACAAUGGGCGCAAGCCUGAUCCAGCCAUGCCGCGUGAGUGAUGAAGGCCCUAGGGUUGUAAAGCUCUUUUACCCGGGAAGACAAUGACUGUACCGGGAGAAUAAGCCCCGGCUAACUUCGUGCCAGCCGCCGCUGUAAC